ACACAAGAGCAGGAACAAACCCCGCUGGGAGAUCUGGGGAGGCAUCUGGGUUUUAGAUUGGAGUGACUUUUGCGAUCUGGAGGCCUGGCAUGGUGCAUCUGACUUCCCGUUCUAUGGCUGGUCUGAGUCCCUGUGCAAUCUGGCUCAUCUUGAGCCAAGUGGCUGAUUCACAUUAUAUCUGGCACCUCCUCUGAAGAACAAGCUGAAGGGCUGACAAAAUGGUGAGUUGAUAAUGCACAAACAAGAGGAAAUCUGCAGAUGCUGGAAAUCAGAGCAACCCACAAAAAUUGCUGGAGGAACCCCAUCUUGAUGAAGGAACUCACUCCAAAAUGUCGACUGUACUGUUUUCCAUUGCCUGGCUUGCCGAGUGAUGCACCAUCAAUAACUCACUCUGAGACGUAAGGCGAGAUAUCGGCUUUUUGUGCAUUUACAGUAGAACAAAGAAAUGCAAUAAAAUCAAUAAAAAGCUACGCACGAAGACUGACAAAUAACUAAUAUGCAAAAGAAGACAAACUGUACGAAUACAGAAAAAUAAUAUUGAGAACAUGAGAGUGGGUCCAUCGGUUGUGGAAUCAGUUCAGUGUUGAGGCAACCUUCACAAAUUCAAUCAAAUAACUGAGAACGUGAACCCUUUACAAAUCCAUGAAGAACACUUCUUUGUAGCCCUGCUAUCUACAAGGAUGAAAGACUCCAUCUUGUAAAGAAUUGAUGGACUGUACAUUUUCAAUGUGCAUCAUGGCCUACAACAGACUGACUUGCUUCAUUAUCGAUCUGUCUACUGAACAUAAUUUUGUCAAUUUAUAAGUUGGCCAAUAAUGUAUUGUUGGUAACCUCUCGUUGCUCUGUCCUGUCUAUCUGAGGCCUCUUUAUGUUGAUGAAUAGCAUCUCAUCUUCUGAUAGCACAUAUUGUGGCCUUCCAGUAAGAUGGUGGCCCACUUGGUCCCAGUGGCCUCUCCAAGUCCAAAAACUGGUGCAAAUGUUUAUCUUAAAUGUUGUUUAUUGCGAUUACAAGACCCUGUUAGGUACUAUAAAAUACUGCAAGUCUGGUUCAUUGGUGAGACCAACAGCGAAGGAGUUGUGUGGCCUAGGUUGUUGCAUGGACCAGACCCUCAUGCUGCAGCAUCGCCUGUUACAGUUUCCCAGAUAGGAGGUGCCACAGGCAGUGUAGGAGGGAACAGAGAUGCAGCGGGCACACUGGAAUCAGUGCUGGGUUGGGUGCUGGCCCCCAAGGACAGCUGUCCCAUUGGUACUGCUCUCCAGUGUUCACUCCCUAGAAGACAAGCUGAUUUCCCUUCACCCGUGACUGAUCCAGUGUGAGAUGAGGAACUGCUAUGUACUUGCUUUUGCAGAAACAUGGCUCCAGGACGAUAUCCUGUGCACCAACAAACUUAAGGCAGUGGCACUCAGGGACUUGUGCUAUUGUUACGUUAUAACUGUGACUAUGGUGAGUGUACAGUGUGUGACAAUGUAGUGUGUUUUGCACCUUAGCGCAGAUGAAUUCUUUUAGCUGUAUAUAUAGUUGAUCUGUUCAGGGUCACGUGAAGCCAUGGGAGCAGGUGGUGGAUGGUUGUAUGAGCAGCUGGUGCAUAUCACAAGUCCUGGUUUUGCCGCUGACAUCAGGCAGACAAUCUCUGAAGACAACAGGUGUCCCCCAUUUUUCGAACGUUCGCUUUACAACAACUCACUGGUACGAAAGACCUACAUUCGUACCUGAUUUUGCUAACCAAAGAGGAUUUUCACUUUUACAAAAAAAAGACACCGGCUUUAUAUUGUGUUUACCCCGAGAAAGACUACAAUGACCGUGAAGCCUUGCGCGGGCAGUUGUUUGCGCAUGCGUGUACGUGCGUACGCAUGUGCGUACAUAUGCGUGUAUGUGCGUAGGCGUGUAUGUGCACAUGCAUGUACGUGCAGAUUUUUUUUCUCCAAAUCGAUUUUGGCUCGCUGUCUUGCCGAGUUUGGUAAGUGAAACUACACUGUACAUACAGUAUUUCUACAUUAUAUAAGAUGUAUAUUUAUCAUAUCAUUCCUGCUUUUACUAUAUGUUAGUGUUAUUUUAGGUUUUGUGUGUUAUUUGCUUUGAUUUGGUAGGGUAUUUUUUGGGUCUGGGAACGCUCAAAAAUUUUUCCCAUAUAAAUUAAUGGUAAUUGCUUCUUCGAUUUACGACAUUUUGGUUUUCAAACGGUUUCAUAGGAACACUGUACCUUCGGAUUGCGGGGGAAACCUGUAUUGAUAAUGGCUGGGGUCACCCAUCUUGUGAAGACAGUGUCCAGGAAAAGCAAUGGCAAACCUCUUCUGUAGAAUUUCCCAAGAAGAGAGACCAUGAUCACACACGUCAUACAACACAGCACAAUUGAUGAUGAUGGUGUUCUCACCUUAUCACAGAUGUUCCCUGUGUCCUUUCCAUCCCUCUGUAACCUAAACUAGCUUGUUUCCUCACUUUCCCAGUUCUGAUAAGGAUCUGAAACACUCCUCUGUCCAGAAAUGCUAACUGACCUGCUCAGAGUUUCCAGCAUUUUCUCCAGUAGGAUUGGUGGAUAUGUUGCUGAGAUUUGAGAACACAAGAGCUCUCAGGUAUUUUCCACCUGCAUGAAUGGAAGAAAUGUUUCUGACAGGAAAUGUUCCACGAGGUCCCGGGAAAAACAAUGAACCUCCAUGGAAAGACCAAAAUGGUAUUGUUGUUGACAGUAGUCAUGG